UACGUAGGGGGCGAGCGUUGUCCGGAUUUAUUGGGCGUAAAGAGCGUGUAGGCGGUUCGGUAAGUCUGUCGUGAAAUCCUGAGGCUCAACCUCGGGCGUGCGAUGGAUACUGCCGGGCUAGAGGAUGGUAGAGGCGAGUGGAAUUCCCGGUGUAGCGGUGAAAUGCGCAGAUAGUCGGAGGAACACCAGUAGCGAAGGCGGCUCGCUGGGC
rnacentral:rRNA from 1 species